GACGAACGCUGGCGGCGUGCUUAACACAUGCAAGUCGAACGGAAAGGCCCUGCUUUUGUGGGGUGCUCGAGUGGCGAACGGGUGAGUAACACGUGAGUAACCUGCCCUUGACUUUGGGAUAACUUCAGGAAACUGGGGCUAAUACCGGAUAGGAGCUCCUGCUGCAUGGUGGGGGUUGGAAAGUUUCGGCGGUUGGGGAUGGACUCGCGGCUUAUCAGCUUGUUGGUGGGGUAGUGGCUUACCAAGGCUUUGACGGGUAGCCGGCCUGAGAGGGUGACCGGCCACAUUGGGACUGAGAUACGGCCCAGACUCCUACGGGAGGCAGCAGUGGGGAAUAUUGCACAAUGGGCGGAAGCCUGAUGCAGCAACGCCGCGUGCGGGAUGACGGCCUUCGGGUUGUAAACCGCUUUCGCCUGUGACGAAGCGUGAGUGACGGUAAUGGGUAAAGAAGCACCGGCUAACUACGUGCCAGCAGCCGCGGUGAUACGUAGGGUGCGAGCGUUGUCCGGAUUUACUGGGCGUAAAGGGCUCGUAGGUGGUUGAUCGCGUCGGAAGUGUAGUCUUGGGGCUUAACCCUGAGCGUGCUUUCGAUACGGGUUGACUUGAGGAAGGUAGGGGAGAAUGGAAUUCCUGGUGGAGCGGUGGAAUGCGCAGAUAUCAGGAGGAACACCAGUGGCGAAGGCGGUUCUCUGGGCCUUUCCUGACGCUGAGGAGCGAAAGCGUGGGGAGCGAACAGGCUUAGAUACCCUGGUAGUCCACGCUGUAAACGGUGGGUACUAGGUGUGGGGUCCAUUCCACGGGUUCCGUGCCGUAGCUAACGCUUUAAGUACCCCGCCUGGGGAGUACGGCCGCAAGGCUAAAACUCAAAGGAAUUGACGGGGCCCCGCACAAGCGGCGGAGCAUGCGGAUUAAUUCGAUGCAACGCGUAGAACCUUACCUGGGUUUGACAUGGAUCGGGAGUGCUCAGAGAUGGGUGUGCCUCUUUUGGGGUCGGUUCACAGGUGGUGCAUGGCUGUCGUCAGCUCGUGUCGUGAGAUGUUGGGUUAAGUCCCGCAACGAGCGCAACCCUUGUUCACUGUUGCCAGCACGCUAUGGUGGGGACUCAGUGGAGACCGCCGGGGUCAACUCGGAGGAAGGUGGGGAUGACGUCAAGUCAUCAUGCCCCUUAUGUCCAGGGCUUCACGCAUGCUACAAUGGCUGGUACAGAGAGUGGCGAGCCUGUGAGGGUGAGCGAAUCUCGGAAAGCCGGUCUCAGUUCGGAUUGGGGUCUGCAACUCGACCUCAUGAAGUCGGAGUCGCUAGUAAUCGCAGAUCAGCAACGCUGCGGUGAAUACGUUCCCGGG
rnacentral:rRNA from 1 species